GACGAACGCUGGCGGCGUGCCUAAUACAUGCAAGUCGAACGAGAGCGACCGGUGCUUGCACUGGUCAAUCUAGUGGCGAACGGGUGAGUAACACGUGGGUAACCUGCCCAUCAGAGGGGGAUAACAUCCGGAAACGGAUGCUAAAACCGCAUAGGUCUUCGAACCGCAUGGUUUGAAGAGGAAAAGAGGCGCAAGCUUCUGCUGAUGGAUGGACCCGCGGUGCAUUAGCUAGUUGGUGAGGUAACGGCUCACCAAGGCCGUGAUGCAUAGCCGACCUGAGAGGGUGAUCGGCCACAUUGGGACUGAGACACGGCCCAAACUCCUGCGGGAGGCAGCAGUAGGGAAUCUUCCGCAAUGGACGCAAGUCUGACGGAGCAACGCCGCGUGAGUGAAGAAGGUUUUCGGAUCGUAAAACUCUGUUGUUAGAGAAGAACAAGUGCUAGAGUAACUGUUAGCGCCUUGACGGUAUCUAACCAGAAAGCCACGGCUAACUACGUG
rnacentral:rRNA from 1 species